rnacentral:rRNA from 1 species
UACGGGGGGGGCAAGCGUUGUUCGGAAUUACUGGGCGUAAAGGGCUCGUAGGUGGCCCCAUAAGUCAGACGUGAAAUCCCUCGGCUCAACCGAGGAACUGCGUCUGAGACUGCGGGGCUUGAAUCCGGGAGAGGGAUGCGGAAUUCCAGGUGUAGCGGUGAAAUGCGUAGAUAUCUGGAGGAACACCGGUGGCGAAGGCGGCAUCCUGGACCGGUAUUGACACUGAGGCGCGAAAGCGUGGGGAGCAAACAGG